rnacentral:lncRNA from 1 species
AAGGAGCUGUUGCACACUGCCGUUAAUCUCAGGGCCCCUGCCAUCCCUCUCCUUGGGCUACCAUGGCCAUCGCUUGACUCUAAACAAGCUGACAACAGGUUGUCUGGAGAGUUGGCUGGUGGACAAACUGAGAAGAGGCUGUGGACAUGAGGGACUCUUAGCUCUUUGGGCACAAUGCCUGAACCGUGUAUGGCACAGAACCUCCUUGUGUUGGAUUAGUGAAGUUACCUGGAUCCUCAGGAAACAGCUUCAAGGUCUCAUACCUUCAAAAACAAGUCUUUUAAAAAAUCUAGAAUCUGUGGAAUCUGCAAACAAGUAAUUGACAGCCAAGGAAUUUCUUGCAGAGUUUGCAAAUAUGCCUGCCACAGGAAAUGUGAAGAAAAG